AUUGAACGCUGGCGGCAUGCCUUACACAUGCAAGUCGAACGGUAACAGGUCUUCGGAUGCUGACGAGUGGCGAACGGGUGAGUAAUACAUCGGAACGUGCCUAGUAGUGGGGGAUAACUACUCGAAAGAGUGGCUAAUACCGCAUGAGAUCUACGGAUGAAAGCAGGGGAUCGCAAGACCUUGUGCUACUAGAGCGGCCGAUGGCUUAUUAUGAAGUUGGUGGGAUAAAAGCUUACCAAGCCGACGAUCUGUAGCUGGUCUGAGAGGACGAUCAGCCACACUGUGACUGAGACAAGGCCCAGACUCCAACGGGAGGCAGCGGUGGGGAAUUUUGGACAAUCGGCGCAAGCCUGAUCCAGCAAUGCCGCGUGCAGGAUGAAGGUCUUCGGGUUGUAAACUGCUUUUGUACGGAACGAAAAGCCCUGGGUUAAUACCCUGGGGUCAUGACGGUACCGUAAGAAUAAGCACCGGUUAACUACGUGCCAGCCGCCGCCGUAACAC
rnacentral:rRNA from 1 species